ensembl:misc_RNA 7SK 7SK RNA
GACUGUGAAUGUGAUCUGCCUGUGACAUCUGUCACUCCACUGACUGCCAUGCCAGGUUUGACUGAGCUGAUCUGGCUGGCUCUAUGCGUGGUGCAGUCCUCCCUCACCAUUCCAUAUGCACCCCUCUCACAGCUGUGUGCUUGGCCGAAGAGAACCUUCCCCCAAAGGGAGGACUGUUCCCUCCGCCUAGAGCAUACUGUAUGAGUAGCUAUGCUCUCUUGCUAGAAACUUCAAGCAAGCUCUCAAAAAAAUCAGAUUCCUCCCAAAAAUAAAAGGCCCAAUAAAAAUUCGGCAACUAAAAUGAAUAGACAUUU